CAUCUACUCCAGCUAGCACCCCUGUGAUUAUUUUUAGUUUGUUGUUGUAGGGUAGAUGUAGGGUCAGCCUGUGCCAGUGGCCAGAAUGGUAUUAAAAACAACAGAUGGGAUGGUGGUGUUUAUGAUUGCAAAGGACUGAAACUGGAAGAAGCCUGUCCAGUUUCACACACCUUUAUUGUCAAAGGAGUAGGCUGAGGGUCAGAGAGUUUGACCUUCCCUGAGGACCCAGUGACUGUGGAGCUUGGCCGGAGCUCUGAGGCAGCAUUUCCCAUAGUGCUUUCAAGUUACUGAGCACUUUCAAUUGGCUUCUGGUUUUUGGUUGUUUUGUUAUUUUUGAAAGAGCUGUGAAUUUCAAGAUAAUGAUACAACUACAAACACUGAUCUAAAGAUAUGAUAUUUGGCGAGAAGGCCAGAGCUUGAUUGUUGUAUAGCUGAGGACCCCACUUCUGGCCGUCACCACUCCAGAGGGACGAUGGGGCAGUUGGAAUGGUGUUUGAAGAGAAAAACGGGAGAAAGUAUGGCUUCUGUUCUUGCCAACCUGAUAAUAAAGCAGUAACUUAAAAGAGAAACUGACAA